GAAUCUCAAGAGUAUGUGGCCUGUUUUCUGGUUACUCCACACCAUACAAAUGAAAGGCAGAACUUGGAACAGCCAUGUCUAACCUGACCCUAUGUCUCUGUUCUCUUUGUACCUGUGCAGGUAGAGGAAGGAUGGUGGGAAGGUGUUCUCAAUGGGAAAACUGGAAUGUUUCCAUCCAACUUCAUCAAGGAGCUGUCGGGGGAGUCAGAUGAGCUUGGCAUUUCCCAGGAUGAACAGCUGUCUAAGUCAAGGCCUGAAGGUCUCCCUCCAGUUUCUCUGCUGCCUUUCCCAGCUCAUGGAGCAAAAGGAAAGACUACCUUUGAAGGGCCAAUUCUGUACCGAGCUGCACCGGGAAAGACGGAGGGCCACAGACGCUAUUACAGCUUAAGGGAGACCACAGGCUCCGAGAGUGAUGGGGGUGAUUCAAGCAGUACCAAGUCCGAAGGUGCCAAUGGGACAGUGGCAGCUGCAGCCAUCCAGCCCAAGAAAGUUAAGGGAGUGGGCUUUGGAGAUAUUUUCAAAGACAAGCCAAUCAAACUAAGACCAAGGUCAAUUGAAGUAGAAAAUGACUUUCUGCUGAUAGAAAAGGUAUGUUCAACAGUUUCUGUUUUAUUUCAACAUAAUGUGAAAUAUCCAAAAGUACAUUGUGGGGUUUGGCAUCAGACUUCUGAUGCUUCUCUUG
rnacentral:lncRNA from 1 species